GAGUUUGAUCCUGGCUCAGGAUGAACGCUGGCGGCGUGCUUAACACAUGCAAGUCGAACGGGGGUUACUUCGUUGAGAUCUUCGGAUCAAAGCGAAAUAACUCGAGUGGCGGACGGGUGAGUAACACGUGAGUAACCUGCCUUUUGCUGGGGAAUAACUGUGGGAAACCAUGGCUAAUACCGCAUGUUGUGCAUGACAGGCAUCUGUUGUGUAUGAAAGGAGAAAUCCGGCAGAAGAUGGGCUCGCGUCCGAUUAGGUAGUUGGUGGGGUAACGGCCUACCAAGCCCGCGAUCGGUAGCCGGACUGAGAGGUCGAACGGCCACAUUGGGACUGAGACACGGCCCAGACUCCUACGGGAGGCAGCAGUGGGGAAUAUUGGGCAAUGGGCGAAAGCCUGACCCAGCGACGCCGCGUGAAGGACGAAGGCCUUCGGGUUGUAAACUUCUUUGAUCGGGGACGAAAAUGACGGUACCCGAGGAACAAGCCACGGCUAACUACGUGCCAGCAGCCGCGGUAAUACGUAGGUGGCAAGCGUUGUCCGGAAUUACUGGGUGUAAAGGGCGUGUAGGCGGGAAGGCAAGUCAGAUGUGAAAGCCCAUGGCUUAACUGUGGAACUGCAUCUGAAACUGUUUUUCUUGAGUACUGGAGAGGAAAGUGGAAUUCCUAGUGUAGCGGUGAAAUGCGUAGAGAUUAGGAGGAACACCAGUGGCGAAGGCGGCUUUCUGGACAGUAACUGACGCUGAGGCGCGAAAGCGUGGGGAGCAAACAGGAUUAGAUACCCUGGUAGUCCACGCUGUAAACGAUGGAUACUAGGUGUAGGAGGUAUCGACCCCUUCUGUGCCGGAGUUAACACAAUAAGUAUCCCACCUGGGGAGUACGGCCGCAAGGUUGAAACUCAAAGGAAUUGACGGGGGCCCGCACAAGCGGAGGAACAUGUGGUUUAAUUCGAUGAUACGCGAGGAACCUUACCUGGGUUUAAAUGGGGAGUGACAGGCUUGGAAACAGGCCCUUCUUCGGACACUCUUCAAGGUGCUGCAUGGUUGUCGUCAGCUCGUGCCGUGAGGUGUCGGGUUAAGUCCCAUAACGAGCGCAACCCCUAUCGAUAGUUACCAGCACGUUACGGUGGGGACUCUAUCGAGACUGCCGGUGUAAACCGUGAGGAGGGUGGGGAUGACGUCAAAUCAGCACGGCCCUUACAUCCAGGGCUACACACGUGUUACAAUGGCCGGUACAAAGGGCAGCUACACAGCGAUGUGAUGCUAAUCUCCAAAUCCGGUCUCAGUUCGGAUCGAAGUCUGCAACCCGACUUCGUGAAGCUGGAUUCGCUAGUAAUCGCGCAUCAGCCAUGGCGCGGUGAAUACGUUCCCGGGCCUUGCACUCACCGCCCGUCAA
rnacentral:rRNA from 1 species